UACAGAGGUCUCAAGCGUUGUUCGGAUUCAUUGGGCGUAAAGGGUGUGUAGGUGGCGCCGUAAGUCGGGUGUGAAAUUUCGGAGCUUAACUCCGAAACUGCAUUCGAUACUGCGGUGCUUGAGGACUGGAGAGGAGACUGGAAUUCAUGGUGUAGCAGUGAAAUGCGUAGAGAUCAUGAGGAAGACCAGUGGCGAAGGCGACUUCCUGGCCUGUUCUUGACGCUGAGGCGCGAAAGCUAGGGGAGCAAACGGG
rnacentral:rRNA from 1 species